GGGGGGGGGGGGGAACGAGAAAGAGGGGGGGGGGGGGGGGGGGGGGGCGAGGGCACCGGAGAACGAAAAAGAGGGAGGAAGGGGGUCAGCCAGGGCCCGCUUCAGUGGGGUCCCCACCACCUCCUCCCCCCACCGGGGGGCAAGAACCGAACUGUUUAUCCCCACAUCCCGGCAGCAGCAGAAAAGCCAGGGGUGUUUUUGGGACUCAGCUGCCAAAGUUUCUUGAAACAGCUCUGCUCCAAGGCAUAUGCUGGGCUCACUUCUGAGGGAAAUUUCCUUUUUGGGGAAGUUGAAGCAAAGGAAUUUCCUGUGUGGGCAGACAGAGCUUCCUGACUUGAAGGCUUCUUGGAAGGGAAACAGUUUCAUAAUGAAAUGACAAAUUAAAGACAUACCAGCCGGGUUCACUUCAAAACAGCUAUUGAGAGUACAGGCAAAGCCCUAUUAUACUCCCUCACAGAACAAAAAUAAAUCCCAUCCUGACAGGUUUCUGUAUGCUGGAUUAUAUCCGUCCCCCCCCCGCACCUUCCUUCACAGCCCCUGUUCCUCUCCCUUCCUCCCACCCCCGCCAUUAGCCGCCGCCAUCUCUAUCUUUAACCGCUCCCGGGAGCAGCCGGCAAGGAGGCUUGGAGCAUCUCUGGCCGCCUCGCUCGGUGGCUUCGCCCGUCCCUGACCUACAUGGAGGCCUCAUAGGUCACGUCACAGCCCCCGUGCUGCUAAGACUCCCAGAAGCGACCUCUUUCCUUCCCCCUCUGACACAAACCAUGAUUGAAGAUGGCUUUAGCGACGGGUGGAAAAGACCAGGAGGAAGACUGAUGGCAGCAUCGUUUGCGGGUCAGAAUUCAUUAGUCUUAGGCCAAUGAAGGGAAGCGGUGCAGGUUUUGGAAGCAGAUGUCUGAGUUCAAAUGCCAGCUCCAGCCGUGUGCGACCAGCAGGCUAGACCUUGGACGAGUCAUUACACUUCUGGCCUCAGUUUCCUUAUCUCUGAAAUGGGUACAGCAGAACCUUUUCUACACUGUUGUGAGGAAAUGAGAAUGGGAUUUCAAAAACACUUUGUAAACUCCUCCAAAGACUUUUCGAAAUGGCACCUGCUACUUAGCCAUGGUUGGGAUCUUUUGGGAUUGAAAUGCAGGAUUGGGUUGAAAGAACAAACUUGGAGAAUUUGUAGAUCAAUUUGGCAAGUAUUUAUGAGAGAUUUUUCUGUGAGUGCAGCAUGCUUGGGCUCUGUGGGGAGAAACAAACGAAGUACGAAGUUUAAAGCAGCCGCAGGAAGAAUCUUGGACUUGGGGUCAGGAGGCCAAGGUUCAACCCUGGCUGUCACUCAGUAGCUCUGUGGCUUGGGGUGAACUAUGCAACCUUGAUGAGUCUCCAUUGUUUGUUUUUAAAAUUGGGGGAAAUAGACUCUAUGACUUUAAUAAGUUCUGUCCAAUUCUGACAUUGUAUAAUUGAUUUUAAGAGGUCUCUGCCUUUUGCAGUUGUUUAUAGGAUUUAUUCUAAAGCGCAAGGAAGAACUAUUCACUGUAUAACAGCCUGUCUGAUGAAGAAACUUGCAUCAUAAUUUUUUAUUAGUAGAUCUGAUAUACACAGGAAAAAAUGAGUGCUUGCUAGAUAGGUCAGCUAUAGCAAUUCGGUUUGGGGUGUUUCUGAGUGAAUGCUGACUCAAAAAUAAGUAGGAUCGUGGGUUGAACAUGGCGCUUUCUCUAAGAUAACUUGUCUCGGGAUUUUGGUUUACCUUCUCUCAACUGCGCCAGGGGAUUCCCAGCAUGUUUCCAAAUGGUUGUUCGUCGAAGCCAUCCCCAUGAUGGACAUCCCUUGCCCAAAUAGGCUUCUAGGAUAGAGGCCACCAUGUUGACUGGUCCUGACAUCAGGUUUUAGCAUGAGCUGGUAUGUCAUUUUUAGGCCCGCCACAUUAUUCUCCUUCUCAUUUCAGUUUGUAUGAGUAAAGGUCUUUUACUGACUUUGCCUCAUAGCGUGUUUUCUCAGCACCCGUGUCGAUUUGAGAAAACUGAGGCACUGGAAAAAUUAGAUACCACGUAUAAAAUCACAGUUGCAAAAUGGUGACAAGCCAAGCGUUGCGUAAAAAGAGCUGUCAUUUAUUGGGUGUGUGUUCCAGUGUUCUAAUACAUUGUCUCAUUAAUUUUUUUCUCCCAACAAGUCUGAGAGGUAGGCGAUAUUAUCUUUACAGAUACAGAAACUAGGGCUUUGAAAUGUUAAGUAAUUUGCUCCCGGCCACAGAACUGGUUGGUGGUUGAGCCAGAAUAUGAACACAGGUCUGUCUGUUCCAGAACCUCCGUUCUUUACCCCUUCAUUGCGUCUCCUCUGUGUAGUCAGUUGUUUUAAAUUGACCUCAGUGCUUAGAAGUAAGUCACACCUGUCUCAGGCCCCUGAAAGAAAACAGCACUAACCUCGUAGUCUUGUCGUGGCAGACUCUUGUAACGGCAGAAAAGCCUGUGGAAAAUAAUACACCUGGGUAAUAAACUGAGCAAACAACCCUGCCUCUCACCUCUGUCUGGAAGAGAGCCCGUACUGGCCAGCUCUGGCCACACCUUAUGCAUCAGGACAGAAAUCUGCUGUCCGUUUUUCAGAUAGGCAAGGAAAGUGCCUGGUGCCAGACUGCAUCCUUUUCCUUGUGCAAUUCCUUGCAAGGGCUGUUUGUGGCUUCCCCGGGCUCGUUGGGAAGAGGAUUCAAAUCUUGUUCUACUCGACAGGCAUUGAUUGAAGAACCACCGUGCUCAGUGCUAGGGACACAAAGAGGCGCAAGGUAGGGACUCAGUCUUAGAAAGCAGAAAUUGGAAUAGUCAUUCAACAAAACCAGUAUUUACUGAGAAUCCACUGUGCCCAGUAGAACAGUAAUUGCAAGAGAUAAAUAUCUAAAACACUCACAAGGAUAUGUUUUACAUCUCCACAGAAAGUAUGUGUCGUCGUUGUUGUUGUUUUUCUUGAUUUCUGUUCGGUUUUCUUAACUUUCCUCUGUGCAAGUAAACUUCCAGGGUAUGUCCUCUUGUUUAAGUCCAGAGCUUUAUUAGUUUUCAUUUCUUGGACUAUCGUGUAAACAGCUCAGGAACUUCUCCUCUUCACCUCAUUUUUCUCCCCCCAAAGAAGAUGGAUUUUUUUUCCAUUGAAAAUUAUUUUUCAAUGAAGUCUAAAAUAUGUUUUAAACCCACUUCUGUUUAAAACACAGAUAUCAUCCAGGAGAAAAUCUGAGGGCAAAAAAAAAAGGGGGGGGAGGAUUUUGAUUGCGCCUAAUUAGACUCAAAGUACUAAGUUAUUCUCUGGUGUAUGUAGCAAAAACACUAGGUGGGUGUUGUUUUGAGUUCAUAGUGAGGGGAGAAAUGGGGUCAUCACUCCUGCAGAGAGAAAGGUAAUCUCUGAUUUCAGUCUUUCAUUGGCCUCCGGCAGCUGGUGGGGUCUUCCGAAACAAAUUCUUUUUCUUCGUUACUCAGUAUAUUCCCCAUUUGGGCUUGAAGCGGGAAACCCGAAAGUUGAAAUGCUGUGACCACCUCUACACUGUCACAUGCCCUUGCUCUCUGGUGAGGAAGUGGGGGAGACGUGGAAGAGGUGGCCUCAUCACUCGCUUUGUUUGGAAGUGAGAAGCGGCGAGGGGAGGAUUGGAGGAAGACGCGGGCACUCGCGGCACCGCCGCCCUGCGACACCCUGGCCAUUCCUCUUCCCUGGCACUCACAGGCAGCUUUGCGAGGCAGGAGUACGUGAGGAGGAAGAUCCUAUUAGCAGAGGAGCUGCAGGAACUGAAGAGAUGCCGAAGGGAGCCAGGUGACUGACAGGUAGAUGAAAUCCAACAUCCUUUCCGCUCAAAGUUUUAAGAAGAGAAGUGGCCACGAGUAAGCUUGAGUUCUGUCCCCUUCCUGAUACUCGCUGCUCCUCAGACCCAGGUGAGGACGAUGUACUACACGUAAGCAAGCAGAUGUGGGGAAAAGAGCAAAACCCACUGAGCCGUGAGAUCCCUAAGACCCUCCCCCCCGCCCCCAGGCCUUGGAUGUUGGGGGUUGACAGCGGCUUCCUGUGCACUGUACCAUGGAGACCACAGGUGACGGAGGCAGUGGCCCAGCUUAUGCUCUGGGCGUGCAGAGAAGGGAAGCUCCGCCUCCUUUGUUCGCAUCCUCCUUGUUGGAUGCUGGGGUAGCCUCUGCCCCUCUUACAGGACAACUCUAGGUCUCCGUGUGAUCCUGGCCCAGCCUGAAGCCUGAGGCUUCUGAACACAAACAUCCUAGUGCUGGCCUUCCUUGCAUGACGCCCAGGAAUCCCUAGUGGGGAAAGCCAUGCCUCACCACUGUCAACCUAAUGAUAGACCAAGACCCCUCUUCCCUCCACCUGCCCUCCUAAUAAUCUUAAGAUUUAGGGGAAACUAAAAUAGACCUUCCUCUAGACCGACACUGCCGUUUCACAUACAAAUGUAGCUCUCUUUCACCCUGGAGAAAGACAGCCUUUUCGACUUCUCUGCACCUCCCAGAUGGUCCAGCAGAUUUGCAUGAGACCCAGAGUGACACUGACGUGCUUUAACUGAUGAGCGACGUCAAGCCUGUUUGUCUCUGCCGUUAGAGACUGAUUUGACCCCCCACCUAUAGGAACUCUAGUUUCUGAGAAUGUGGCAAGGCUUUGUAGAGAUCGACCCCAACCAAUGCUUUCACACUUCACAAUCUGAGUAAUGAGCCGGAUACUCCUCACGUUUUACUUUUGGUUCUUUGUCAAAUAAGGUAGUAACAGAGUCCCUAACUGUAACAUAGGGAGCCGUAGCUACAUGUGAACUUCGUGGCUCUAAAAUCUUGAGAUACCGCUUCCUUACCUCCUUCCUUGUCAACGAGUGUUUAGAUUUUUAAUGACAUUUCAAAGUCAAUCUCCAAACACUUUAGAGGUCAAUCCUAGCAGAGACGAACUUUAAACUGGUGGGAGUAGGGUGCAGAGCAAUCCCUCUGGGAGUCAGAAUGAGAUACUUGUGUGUCUGGACUGGUAGCAGGUUUUUAUGUUACCAGAGUGAUCUCCAUGGUAACAGAUCAACAUGGUACCAGUGACAGCUUUACACUCCAGGCUUUAGGUUCCCAUGAGAAAGUGGAUUCUUAACAACAAAUAGGGGAGCAGAAACGAAGGAAUAUGGAUGUACGUUCCCCUUUCUUGUAAAGUUCUGGUCAUGAAGUUUCUGUUCAUACAACCAGUGACAUGUCCUCUUUAACCCCCUGGGUUCCUCUGUCAACCAAGACUCUUCAGAGGGUGUGCAAUGUGCUCUUGAAUUUCAACUGAACUCAUACCAGGUUUAAAUAGGCUUUGGUAGCAAAGAAUUAUAUUGGAGUGGAACAAGAAUGAGACUUGGAGUCAGGAAACCUGGCCUUCAGACCCAGCUUUUGUACUGUCUUGAAGGUCCUUACUUGCCACAUUCUUAGAUUCUCCCCAGUUAUGAUAGUCAAUCAUCCAGUUAUAUGGAAAGCCCCUGGUGUGAUUCAUUGGCGGUAAAAAUGGUAGCCAGUUAAAUAGAGGACAGUCUGCCAUCCCCAUCCCCAUCAAAGGUAUGAUACUGUUGUGAUCAUGUGGAUGCAAACGUUCAGACACCUAAAAAGUAGAAGGUAGGAGUCCUCUUUAUUAAAGAUUAAUCUCUGAACUUAACGACCAAAAUCUGGAGGCUGGAUAGCCAGCAGAAGAGUUCAUUUUCUGGAGUGUUGGUUACAAAAGGUUAUUAAUUUGGAGAAUCAGCACUCGUUUAUCUUAAACCACAAGAGAACAUUUGUGAAUUCAGGGGAACAAUUAUGUAAUUUGGUAAUUUCAUGAGCCUCUUCCCUGGGGAAUCUUAUGACUCAACGAUCAAAGGUGUCAGAGUAGAGAAGACAGCUUUCCAUGGUCACAUCUGUGCCCGUGGCGGGGCUUAGGUACACUCUGAAGUGAGAUUCUUUGUGGCUGAGACCUCGGACUGAUUGGUGAUGGGUGGUUUGGGUAAUGGUUUCUGUUGUAUACAUUUAAAGGGGACUAGUCUUUCCCCCAAAAGGGAAGUUUCUUUUCUAAGGAAUUUAUUCCUAGGGUUGUGGGGGAGUUAAACCCACUGUGCAUCAAGGAAGUAACUGAUUGCGUAUUUCGUAUAAAAGGCAACUAUGAACUUGAUAUUGACUAAAGCAAACCAGCAGCUUCUUUCUACCACCUGGUUAGAACGUUUCUUUACUAUACUUUGCAAGAUGAUAAAGGACAACCAAGGUGCCUGGGUGGCUCAAUCGGUUAAGCAUCUGAUUCUUGAUCUUGGCUCAGGUCAUGAUCUUGUGGAUCGAGCCCCAAGUCGGGCUCUGAAUUGACAGCAACAGAGCCUGCUUGGGAUUCUCUCCCUCUCCCUCUCUCUCUGCCCUCCCCCACUCAUACUCGCGCGCGUGCACAGACAGUCUCUCAAAAUAAACGUAAAUAAAAAAGGACAAGUAAUGGUAGUGCUAAGCUUCUCUUGCAAUUCUCUGUGGUCUAUCUCUAACCAAUGGAAGUCUAAAGAUUUUUAUUUUAGGAUCAUAAUGUUGGAAGAUCUUUAGAUUGCCCAUAUCAUAAUGCCACUUCUAAGACUGGUUUUAAGGUUUCUGAUCAUGAUUUAAGUAUGAAAAGUCUUGAUCUUAUUUCCUUUGUCAUUUCUAGGUCUUUUUAAAAAAAUUUUUUUAAAUGUUUAUUCAUUUUUUGAGAGAGAGAGAGAGAGCACAGCAGGGGAGGGGCAGAGAGAGAGAGGGAGACACAGAAUCUGAAGCAGGCUCCAGGCUCUGAGCUGUCAUCACAGAGCCCAAUGUGGGGCUCGAACCCACGAAUGAUGGGAUUAUGACCUGAGCUGAAGUUGGAUGCUUAACCUACUGAGCCACCCAGGUGCCCUUGUCAUUUCUAGGUCUUAAAUUUACUUUGUUGACAUAAAAAGAAUUUUUGUUUAGCUUAGCAAAAGUUAAAAGAGCAGUAUAUAUCUUUUUUUUUUUUUUUAGUUUUUUAAUAAAGAUUUUUUGCCUGAGAAUCAACAGUGUUGGGACUGUUUCAGUUGAAAAUGGAAAUGUUCUUGAAGUUAUAUCAACAUGGACAGGACAGUGAGCUAGAAUUUUAGAGCUUGGUUUCCUGACUGUGCAGUUUUGGUUCUAGAACAUUAGCAUUGUCUGAGUUCAAAUGUAAAUAGACAUUGUUUUGUUGUUAUCUGCUGGUUUAAAUUUUCAUUCGGCUUGUAACGAAGAGAUCAUUGAUCGCCCUGAACGCUUUGAAAGGAGACUAGACAAGGCUCAGUCCCACUGAGCUGGUAUCCAAAGCAACUUUUCUCAUGUUCUGGCUUGUAGUACUUUCAGAAAUAAGGUUUUAGGAGAAGAAGGAGGGCAUUUGAGGAAAACAGAGCAUAUUUAUAAGGAGAGCAUACUUCAUUCCCUUCAAAACACAAACAAAUGAAUAAACUGGGGGAAAAAAAAAAGAAACAAAACACCGAUCCGAAUCCCAGGAGUGGGAAGGGAACCCACCCCGUGGCUUCCGUUGCAGACACUACUGUUGCUGGGGGUGCAGCAGGAUGCCUUUGACCCGAAAGUCGGGGAGAGGGAACAUGGCCUGCGUGCUGCCGUGCCCUUGGUUGACCAAGGCUGCUGGUGCAGCCGCAGAGAAACGAGAUAGCGUGGGGAGAACGGGGACACACGGUGUGUCAUGGGAAGGAGGGCAGACCUGGAGCCCAGACAGCUGAGGGCAAGGGACUGUUGGGGCAGGACCCCAGCCGCAAGGCCGAUGGAAGUUGGCCGAUCUCAGAGAUCUCAGAAAGGAGAGGUGUUUUGUUUGUUUUGCUUUUGCUUUUAGUGGAAGAGGGAGUUGAAUGAGGAAGGAGGGUGGGAAGCUUCAGGGCAGUUUUGUGUCCAAGGUUGAGAGAUGUUCCUCCUGGUAGCAGAAUGCCAGGCUUUCAUCUUGUCCUGCAUUGUGGCCCCACUGCCUGGGGAACUCCAUCAACAACCCACGUCUUAACCACCUAGGAGAGUUUACAAAUGGGGCAUGGGGCCUUGUGCAGACAGACCUCCAAGAGUCAGGCACUAGGUUUGGGCCAGCUUGUGGACUCUCCUUCGUAUCACUGCAGUGCCCUGUCCAUCUGCUUGCUCCAGGCCCUGCAGGCAUGUGAAAUGGCAGGGUCAUUCUGUACCUUAGAAUGUGUGUCCCCAGGUCACAUUUAUCCCUGGAGCACAUUUUUCCCCCUCGUGGUAAAGAAUUAAAUGUAAACAGGGGCGCCUGGGUGGCUCAGUCGGUUAAGCGUCCAACUUCAGCUCAGGUCAUGAUCUCGUGGUUCACGAGUUUGAGCCCUGCGUUGCACUCUGUGCUGACAGCUCAGAGCCUGGAGCCUGCUUCAGACUCUGUUUCCCUCUCUCUCUCUUUCUGCCCUCUCUCUCUCUCUCUCAGUUUCAAGAAUAAAUAAACAUUAAAAAAAUUUGUAUAAAGAGUUAAAUGUAAACAAAUGGUGUUCAGCUGUCCCCUUAGCUCAUAAAAACCCAUAUAUAACUCAUAUUCUGUCUGAAAUAUAGUACAGGUAGACCUGUUUCUACUAACCACCUUUUCUAGCCUAAUAAUUAAUCUGGCAAAAUGCAUGUAGAUUCCAACUGUGGUUCAGCAAGGAGGAGCGCAUCAUAACCACUGCCCUGCCUCUUGAAGGAACUUGGGAGAAAAUGAACAACUGGUAACUUGUUAGCUAGCCUCUGAAUGAGGGAGAGUGCUGUUUUAGACAGGCCCCAGGAAUCCUGAAUGAUGCGGGAGAGGACUGUGGCCCCAUGGGGGCAGGCUAGGGAAUUAUCCAUCCCUCUUCCUCUGAAUGGGUCACAACGGAGUGUCUCAUCAGGAACUGUGUGUAUAAAAACAUGACCUCUGCAGAUUUGGGCAUGGCUAGAUGCCUUCGCUGCGUGCUGUAUCUUUAAUUCCUAUCCAGGCGCAGUCUCAACCUUGCAUGACAUCUUGUAGCAGAGGGCAAUUUGUUUUCUCCAGUCAAAUCUAUGAUUUGAGAAUGUGGCUGUUAAUGAUUGAGAGUACAGAAAAACGUGGGGGUCCAGAAGGGUAAACCUGAUUCCCAGGACUGUAAACUUGGGACUCUGAACUGUGGAUGGUGGCUACAAAAGUCCUGGCUAAGGCAGGGAGGCUGAUAGUGGGGGGCAGUCUCCUUCACUGGGAGACUCCAGGUUCUAAUCCUGGAAAGUUAAUUGUGGAAGAAAACGUAGCCAGUCACAACAAACAAUUGCCAGACUUAUCUUGUGGCAGGCCCUGUGAUGAGUGCUGGAGUUACACGUCGAAUAAAAUAUGGAUACUCCUCUUUAUGACUUACUAAAAUGUUUUUAUGUGAGUUUGUGUUCGCUUUUCCAGCAAAUAUGAACUGAGCAGCCAUCAUGUGCCAGGCGGAUGCUAGACAAUGUGGAAACUUCAGUGAACAGGAGCAGACAUGUUGUCCUGUUAAUUUGUAGAAUUUACACUCCAGAGGGGUCUCUACCCACCCUAUCAAAAUAUGUACAGAAGACACUGUCACUGCCCUACUUCUGAGUCUGUGCUCAGGUCACUCCCUGAGUUGAGUCUUUCCACAUUUAUAAAUAUCCCUAUUGUGGGAGCCACUGAAAAGGACAGAGGAACCUGAUAAGCCAGGCAGGCGGAGCACCCAAGCAGUGGUUUGUGAACAGUUAGUGGGGCAGCCAGAGUUCCCUGCACCAAGCAUUAUGUUUUAUGUGUGCACAUCAGCGUGUUACUGAUUGCUUCCUUGUGCUGAUCUGUUUUUAUUUCCUGUAGCUCUUCAGGUCUGUCCAAGCCAGUAUGAUCUAUCUUCUACUAAUGUUUCUGGAGUUCUAGGGAGCUGUUUAAUGCACUUUCUUCUGCAUCUGCCACAGCAUCAGGCCCCACGCCCACUAACCAUGCUUGAUGGUGAUGCCCAGAGAUGAUGGUUAUUACCAGCCCUGGGUUUGGAAGCCAGUCUACCAGUGAUGGAACCGUCAAGGCUCAGCCUAGGAGCUCAUAGUCACGUGGGAGAAGGAGCUCAGGACCACGUGCAGGAAGCUAUGGGGUGAUGGAAAUUGAUUUCAGGUACUGAGGUAAAUCUCCAGUGAGGUGAAGACAAACAGGUCAGGACAAAGCCCUUAUGUCAUAGCAGCACUACAGAGUCCCAGGGUGGGGACCUGACUUCUCCUUUAGACUGAGCAUUGAAAUUAACUUACCAAAGAACAAAUACUGGAAGUAUGUACUUGAAAUGAUAACAUACAAGAUUUUGGUUUUUUAGCUGGCAGAUUUUUUUUUUAAUGCUAAUUCUCAAUUCAGACUAGUUGGUGGGGGGGAGCCGGGCCCAUGUAUUCAUGCUUGGCACAGGUAGGCAUAACAGAUUCGCAACAGCAGCUCACGCAAGAGGCAUGUAUGUGUAAGUGACAUGAAAAAACACCAACAGGGGCACCUGGGUGGCUCAGGCAGUUGAGCGUCCGACUUCGGCUCAGGUCAUGAUCUUGCGGUUUAUGAGUUCGAGCCCUGCGUCGGGUUCUGUGCUGACAGCUCAGAGUCUGGAGCCUUCUUUGGAUUCUGUAUACCCCCCUCUUUGCCCCUCCCCCACUCGUGCUCUGUCUGUCUCGCUCUCUCAAAAAUAAAUAAACGUUAAAAAAAAAAAAAAAACAACCACCAACAGCGACCUGAGAACAAAAACGCAAUCUGCUGAGCAUACCCUUUGGCAAAUGUGGGUUAAGAUCCUUAAAACAGUUUAACUCCUCAGCUCGGUAACCUCUUCUCUAAAAAUCCAUCACCAGGAAACAGUCUCAGAUGCCGACAGUGGGUCUUACACACGGACGUACGGCCAACAAGACAUCAGUUCAGUGAGUUAGGGAAGGUCAUUACACCAGAAUAUUAUGCGGCAGUUAAAAAUCACGUUUUUGAAAUGUUCAUCUCAUAUAAUUGCAAAGGAAGGAUACACAUCUCUGUCCUCAAAAUAAUCCCAUUUAAAAAAAUCCAUUAUGGGGUGCCUGGGUGGCUCAGUCGGUUAAGCGGCCGACUUCGGCUCAGGUCAUGAUCUCGCGGUCCGUGAGUUCGAGCCCCGCGUCAGGCUCUGUGCUGACAGCUCAGAGCCUGGAGCCUGUUUCAGAUUCUGUGUCUCCCUCUCUCUGACCCUCCCCCGUUCAUGCUCUGUCUCUCUCUGUCUCAAAAAUAAAUAAACGUUAAAAAAAAUUUUUUUUUUUUAAAAUCCAUUAAAAUAGACCAGAAGGAAAUGCAGGAAAAUAGUUCUUGUGGUUAUUUCUAGGUGAAAGGACUACGGGUAGAGGGUUUUUUUCCCUCUUUCUCUACUGUAAUUUUUUUCUAGCAUUGUCUAGGAUUAUUUUUGUCUUAACGAAAUCAUGAUCACAUCCGUCCCCAGCUGGCCACUUUGCACCUAGAUUCAUUGUGUUAAACUGCAAGCAAAGAACUAGCAUUAAAGAAUGUUAUUUAAUUAAAGUGCUUUCCAUUGUCCCCUUCCCCCUACCCUUAAAACCCCUCACGACCUUCCCACUGCACCUAGGACAAAUGCGGCAGCCUGCAGGGUCCCGCACACCCUGGGUCCCACUCACCUCUGCAGCUUUAUCUUGUAUACUCACCUCCUUGCUCUCUGCUUUCCAGCCGUAUGGGGCCUUUUUCAGUUUUCUGUACAGAUCGCCUUCUCUCUCUUCCUUCUGGCUGCAACACCCUUCUCUAGGCUGAGCCCUUCCCCCCGUACUGCCCCCACCCCCCUAAUUCAGCAAGAUAAAUUCAAUACAAUUCCAACUCAUCCUUUAGACCUCUGCCGAAGUCACUUAAGCCUGAGGACUCACCAGCGCCCCCAGUGUACUUCCAACAGGCUCUCUACUUCCCUUCUUACAACAUGGGUUCCCACCCUGUCCUGAAGCCUAAACCACACGCUGUAGAGGGCUGGGACCGUGCCAUCUAGAUCACUACUGCGUUCCCCCAGAAUGCAGCACAGGGUUGAGCUAACCAUAGAGGGCUCUGAAGUAUCGGUGAGUGGGUGAAUCUCAUCUAACUAGACUGAAACUUCUGUUCUCAGGGCAGGCUGUGCUGAUUGUCAAAAAUGCCCUAUGUGCCCGAACGCCACAAAGUCUCAUUUUUCUCAUCCCUGAAAGGAGGCUCCCAGUACCUAUAGCACACUGUUGUGUUGCAUGAGUUGUUGCUUAUGAAGUGCCUAUUAGAGCGUGUGGCACACAACAAGGACUUAGUAAACGAUGCUGUCUUCCUGGGCCGCCCCCGGUGCCUGUUUACACAGCCAGGACUGGCAUACACCUGUUGUUUUUGUUUUUUUUAAGCUUAUUUAUUUAUUUAGAGACGGAGACAGUGUGAGUAGGGGAGGGGCAGAGACAGAAGGAGACAGAAAAUACCAAGCACCGCCCUGAUGCAGGGCUCGAUCCCACCAACCGUGAGAGCAUGACCUGAGCUGAGAUCAAGAGUCGGACGCUUAACCGACCGAGCCAUCCAGGCGCCCCGGCAUACAGCUGUUUUUAAUGUGACCUUAUCUGCUAUAAGUCACUCGAGGAGGGGUUUCCCCAGAAGAAACUUUUUUAUUCCCCUCCCUAGACUAUGAUCAUUAGUACUCCUCAUCAGCUCUAAGGCAGAGUCAGUUUUCUGGGCCCCAGCACAGCGCCAGACUCGCGAUGUGGCUGUGUGCCAAAUUGACCAGGACCAGGCUGAGGCACCGAGUGAAACCUGUGUGUCCAUCGGCUGCCUUCUUCUUGUGGAUGCAAAUCCCUCUGAACUCUGCCUGAAAUCGUUUGCCCGGUUGGAAGAGUAGAAAGAGAACUUCCCUGACGGGUCAAAGAGUUCUUAUUUUUCCUUUCUAAACACCACUCUUCUUUCAGACGCCAUUAAACUAGCCCAGUUGUGGAUCCUGAGCUUCAACUGUGUGGUUAUGAAAGCCGAGUUCUUUCUCUGAGGUCAGAGCCCUGGGUGUGGGUGAUCUCAGGUAAAAGGUCUCAGGGAUUCAGACAUGUCAUUCUUUUGUAUAACUGACUUUUCAAGUACUCCAGCCCUGAGACUGUCCCCUUAUUGUAGCUUCUCGAACGUUGUCACACUGUCAGACUUGGGCUGGUGGGGUUUUUUUCCUCCCAAACAACCAAAAUCAGAUUCAUUUUGGAAGCAGAUACUAGUAUGGCUGUUGUUCUUCCUAUGUCUGGACCCUGAAGAAUUCAGAACUAGAUUCGGUACUUUGCCGUGUAUUCUCACAGGUUAGGUUUUCGAGCGAACACGAAACUUGGACCUAGUGGCUUCCGUAUGCAUGCACACCGCCACCUGUGUUUAUGUGUGUGUGCUUUCUAGAAUAAGACCUCCUUUAAAACUCAACCUCCCAUCAUUUGAGAACUGAUUUGCUAUUUUAUAGCUUGUCCUUUUUACGGCUCUUGGAGAAUCACUGCACCAAAUAUAUUUGGCAGGAACUUAGCACGCAAGCCCUCCCUCAGAACUUGCUACCAAAUUUGCUGAGUUCCCUUCUUAAAAACUUGAGAUUCCUCUAACUUUUUCCUGUGAUGUGCUCAUUUUUGAUCUAAAACUGUAGUUGAAAGCCUGUCUCGGUAAUCAUUCACAUCAAGAAAAGAACGAAUUUCUCAAAAAAGAAGUCAGGUGCUAAAAAUAACCUCCACGCUAAGACCCACUUACUUUUCUACCUAGGGAAUCAAGACAGAAACAUUUCUAGGCUAGAAAUGGCAUAGUUCAAGUGAUGCAACCAUUUAGCUGCCUACUAUUUUUUUUUCUUUUCUGCCAGAAGGAAAAUAUAUAAUGUAAUGUAGAAAAUUUUCCCCUGAGUUGUUAAAAUAAUCACUGAAAUAACCUCUGGUGCUUAGUACGAUACCCUGAAAUCUUGGAUCUUCAGAAUCGUUCGUUUCUGAGGUUUUCCGGACAGCCAGGUUUUCACUCAAAAAUUGGUUGGUAGAGCGAUUGCUGCUGUUACAAUUGCGUACAUUAUGAGAAUCCUUUGUGGAGGUAAAAAGUGUAAAGAAAAUUGCUGAGAAGUGACCAGUGACUCCCUUCUGUGUUUGUCUAGUGGGCUGUGUAAUUAAAUGAGUGGGUCAAGUCUGUCUGAAGUAAAGUAUUAUGCAAUAUCAAAUAAAUGACAUGACUUUUAAAAAGGUUGUGCACGUAAUUUUUUUCUUCUGUGACUGUAGCAUUACAAAUGUUCUACCUUUAGCCUUCCCUGCUUUCUGUUACACGGAUGCCAAAAAACAAUAGGGUUAAUUAGGACUCAUUCUUUUUUUUCUCUUCCUAGCACAGAGGAGGCUUUCAAUAUGUGCCGAAUGAAUGAACCAGUCUGUGAGUCAUAAUUUAUCACAUCGCUGAUUAAUAGAAGCACAAUUGUUAUCUUCUCUAAUAGAUGUAGCUGACUUUUUUUAAGUUGAGAUUAUCUCAAUGGCUGGGAUGCCAGCAUUUUAGAAAACUCGUGGGUUUAUGUUGGAAGUAGUUUUUAGGGUCAAUAUCCUUUUUACUGCAUCAGGACAAGAGCAGAUAUUUAGCAGACUCAUUCUGUGAUGGAACACUGUUAGAAGUGUGUCAAUUCUUACGUGCAAGUAACAAGUUAUGUUAUUUAUAACAAUAUAUAUGUUAUACAUAACUUAGUUAUGUAUGUAUAUGUAUACAUACAUAUGUAAGUUAUGUAUAACUUAGAAAAAGGUCUCAUUGGAAAGAUAUUAGGUAAUUCAUGGGCUCAAUUAAGAAAAAAAAAAGCAGGGGUGUCUGGGUGGCUCAGGCGUGAAGCGUGAGUUAAGCGGAAGUGUCCGACUCUUGAUUUUGGCUCAGGUCACGAUCUCACGGUUCCUGGGAUGGAGCCCUGUGUCGGGCUCUGUGCUGAUAGCAUGGAGUGGGCUUGGGAGUCUCUCUCUCCCUCUGUCUCUGCCGCUCCCCUGCUCACGCACGCAUAUUCUCUCUCUCUCUCUCUCUCUCUCUCUCUCUCUCUCUCUCUCUCAAAUAAACAUCAAAAAGUAAAUAAAAGCAGACCCCAAGGCUUUCUCAGGGGCCAGAGCUCAGCCAAGGUCCUGACACAGGGACAGUGCUCCCUGAAUGCCUCCGCUGUGUGGCUGCCAGUGGACACACAACUUAUGAAGCUGAUGCCCCUGCCAUGAAUAGCACCCCAACAUCCCUGGGGAAGUGGUCACUCCCUUAAGAUUCAAAAACUGGGACAGGUGCAUCUGAUGGGCCCGGCUUCUGAUCCAGAGAACAGGUGAGAAAGCCUGCCAAUCCUGGGAUUCCCCCAGCAGAAGGGGUAUGGGGAUACUGAGCAGAAAAAAAUCUGGAAGUCUAGCAUCAGAUUGUAAGCUAUUGCACAGCACCGUGUUUCACCUUGUUUUCGUGUCCUGCUUUAUUCGUGGCAAAGUUAAGUGGUUCCACAUUUGCGUUGCCCAGGUCAGCACACAGAAUGUCAGUGGCUUGUUUUCCUUGUCAUCUUUGUUCCUCGUUCACGUAUGAGGCUUUAGUGAGUUGUGUGCAAUGAAUUUUUUUGUUUGUUUGUUUCUAAAUUCUGUUAGCCUGCUGAGAAGCCUGCCUGUGCAGUGAAACAGUAGCUAAGCCCUACUCCAAGAAAACGAUGGGACCAGCUUUUAACAUGGGCAACAUCCAGCUCUUGGGAAGUAUUUUAUUUCCUUUUUAAAAAAUAGCUUUUAAUAAUAUCUGAUACAUAUCAAUGAGUCUAAGAGCUGUAAAGGCCCUCAGAGAUGAUAUUUUUUGACUUGUCACCCAAGUCAUGAAUGUCUCAGCGGCAUCCCAGAUACAGCAGGACGUUGACCUUCUGCUUGGAUAUGGUCAGUGAGGAGCAUGUCACUGCCCCCUUUUCCAUCCCAUUUCUGGAUGUGUCUGGAUAGGAUAAGACUUCUCUGAAAUUCACUUCAUUGUCACUUUGCCCUUUGGUUCUAGUUUUGUCAUGUGGGACCAAACGGGACAUGUUCCUUCUGCAUUAAUUCUAGAGACAAACUAAACUUUGGAGUCAGGUAUGGAUUUGACUCCCACCUUUGCCAUUACCAGCUGGUCGAAUUUUAGAAUCACUGUAUCAUCUUUUUUGAACUGCUUUUCCUCAUUGGUAAGAUGAGAAAUAACAGCUCCUUGGCAGGGAUUAAGAUAUAAUGGAGAAUACGUUACAAUAUGCGUGGCCAGUAGUAUAGUUCCUUAAUCAAUGCUGACUGUCAUUUUUGUUAUUAGUCAUACAUUUAAAGAUGAUUAUCUUGUCCCUUCAGUCUUGUUUCCAUGUUGGGCCUCUGCUCACCUGAGACGAAUCCUCCUGGAUAAUUUACCAUUCUGGUCUUCCUCCUGAGUGCCCUUCUGUCCCUGUUCUUCCAGUUUUAUUAAUAUUUGUGUGAAAAUGUGGUUGGGGCUCCUCGGUGGCUCAGUUGGUUAAGCAUCCAACUUCAGCUCAGGUCUUGAUGUCAUGGUUUGUGAGUUCGAGCCCCGCUUCAGGCUCUGUGCCGACAGCUCAGAGCCUGGAGCCUGCUUCAGAUUCUGCCUGUCUGUCUCUUUCUGUCUGUCUGUCUCUCUCUCUCUCUGCCCCUCCCCACUCAUGCUCUGUCUCUCUCUGUCUCAAAAAUAAACAAACACUAAAAAAAAUUUUAGAAAACGUGUUCUGCACACCAACUGGGCUAAGGGGAACGGGAGUAGGACAUCCGUUAGGUGUAAACGAAUUGUUGACUAAAUCAGUAGGCACUUCAUCAGUGUGACAUAAGGUGAUAGCAUUUUAGUAUCGAUGUCGUACUCAGGUUGACCAUUUUUACUCGGACUGUGGCCAAAGUCAGAAUUCUCCUCCCUUAUGCUUCAGUGGAUUUUUUUUAAGCUAAAUGUGUGCCUUUACAUUUAAUCCUAUUAAAUUUCAUUUAAGCUGGCUGAGGCAAUUUGGAUCUUAUGUUCAUCCCUCUUGAGAAUCUCUUCUACUGUAUGUCAAACAGCUUAGAUGAGAAGUCCCUAUAGGCCUUUAUGUUAAUUAUUUGGAAGGACAGGAUUGAAUGGGACAAGAUCAGUGAAGAAGCCCUGUGGCAUACUACUCGAGAGUGUCUUCCAGGUAGGUACAGACUGAUCUUUGUAAUUUAUAAGUAUGUUGUGGUUAUGUAGUGUUUUAUGACAUAUAAAUCUCUUUUUGUGUGCCAUGCAUUAGAUAUGCCAUAAGUGACACAUCAUCAUUUUUGCAAAUGUGCACAAUGGUACUACAUUCCAAUUUAACCCGUAAGAAAAUGCAAACUGUCGGAUUAUUUGCUGAAGUCAAAGAUGCACUCCUUGGCUCUCCUAGCAAAUCUUUACUAACUACCCUCUUUCACUUUGCUUGUCUGCUCGUGAUGAACCUAAAACCUUACAGUUAGGCUUUUGGAAAAGGUCUUCUUGGAUCUGUGGCAGUAAACAGAUGGUUAAUCAAUUUAUAUGCUCUCCGUGCUUUUCAAAGAGAAAAAGGAGAGUUGUAGGUUUGCCAGGGAUGAGUUUUUAAACCUGGCCACACAGCUAAAAUAUAUCUGAAAUCUACUGGGUGAGAGAGAGCGUCUUUUGUUCUUUUACCAUAACAAUAUGUAUAUGUGUAUAUUUGGAUGUUUUCUUCCAGUGAACACUUAUGACAAUGGGUUGUGUAUUUUAUUUUUCAUUUUAAAGUGGACUCUGUGGAACGUUCACUAAUGUAAUAGGAAGACAGAGGGAUUGGGGCAUCACUGGGAAAUGCUUGGAAUUAACCCAUUAUAUGAUGUUCAUGGUAAUGAGUUCAGAAGGAUAGCUUUUCUCGCUUAUGUGCUAUUUCUCUCUAAAUAUCUUUUCAGAAAGUUCUCAAAAAGUAACUUGCAACUGUAAGGUCAAAAGACUAUGCCACCUUGGUUUGUAUGUGUAUACAAUUAUAUAUAAGUUAGCCUCUGGGUGUUGACCCAAGAAAUGCAAUUCAAUGAUUUCUGUGUGUAAGAAAAAUCUGGGAAGCGUACAUAUAUGUAAACCAAUGACUGCAGGUCUGUGACUGGCUGAAGGAGGAAGUGGGUGCUAGCUUUUGAGGGGCUCAGGGUAUGCCAUCCUGAUGAGUUCAGAUUUCACCCUGAAGGUUGUAGGGUGGCUCAAGGGAAUUUAAAUAGGAAAGAGACGCGAUCAGAUUUACGUUUAAAAGCUUUCAUAGGUAGCAACACAGAGGACGGGGUGAGGUAAAAAGCUGUUGCACUGAUCCAGGUAAGAAAAAAUACAAGUCUAAACUAAGGCAGGGGCAGUGGGGAUGGAGUGAACUGGAAAUACGCAAUUGACAUUAAGUAGAUUCAUUGGGCAAGGGUUAGCGACAGAUCAGAUGAGAAGGUUGAGAGCAAGAAGCAGAAAAGAUGGCUCUUUGUAAAGGGCCCAUUAUGUAGGGUGUCAAGGUGAGAAGGAGGCGCCUGUGCAGAAGAAGCACAGGGAGAAAGAGGAGGGAAAUCCUGGACAGACCAAAGAAAGCGGAUUUGGGGAAGGAGAGAAUGAUCCUGAACAACCAAGUACCGUGAGAGGUCAGAGAAGAUGAGGACUAAGGGAGUCAUCAGUGACUCGGGCAGAACAGUUUUUGAGGUGGGGAGAGGCCAGCGCCGACCUGACUGCUGUAAAUUGAAGCGUGGAAAAAAGUGAUGGUAGGUGUCCCUUUGGCUGACCGUGGAUUAGAAUAGAUCAGAGAGGAGUGGGGGAGGGGCAGCCGUGGGUAAAGGGAGGUUUCGUUUGUUCAGUGGCAGGUGUUCGUCCAUGAAGAAUUGCUGGUGAGAGUUGAGAGCUGAAAACAGAGGAGAAGUAAGGGGUGACUGAGGGAACUAGGUCUUGUAGAAAUGGGAGAAAACGAGAUACAAAAUAAAAAUGGAGGCGUUCCUUUGUGUUCAAUAGGAGGAUGGGUUCAUUCCACUGAAACAAGAAGAAAGGCAUGUAGAAAAAUACAGCUGGAUGAGGGCAGGCUGGAAGGUAAUGAGAAUUCCCCCACGGAAUUCAUUCCCGCCCCCCACCCCCCACCCUACAGAGAAGCCACACAUGGAAGAGGUAGCAGUUAAAAGGCAACGGGAGAGUGGCCGAGUAAGCCAGAGAUUGGUUGCUUGGCAAACUGGGGGACCUGGCAUUGCCUCCCAGCAGGAGACGGGGCAUCUGUGUUGGUAUACAGGUCGGUCCGUCUGUGUGAUUUUCCCCUGUGCUGGUCAGCACUGUGGUAUAGCUGGGAAGAAAGGAGAUGGCCAGAUUCAUUCUUUCUGAAAGUACGGAGCGCCUGCUGUAUACCAGGUACGUACGUUCCAUAUCAUUGAGAGGCAGCAGCUAACAAAAUAGAGGAGUGAGGAAGAAAGCGGUGCUGCUCUCUGGGUUAAAUGUAUUCCAAGCACGGAGAGCUGUGAAGGCCUUGAGGAGGAAGGGUGUACUAAAAAGGCACAGCGACGAAGCAAGCGUGUCUGAAAUGAUGUCUGUCUGGCAGGUGAGGGACACUCGGGUUUGGAAGGAGGGGUGGGAACAGAAUUUGGGAAGACCCUUCAGGCCAUUGUAAAGAGUUUGGCUUUUAAUUUGCCAGUGAAAAUUUUAAGCAGAGGACUGACAUAGUCCGACUUUGAUUUUUAAAGAAUCACUCUGGCUGCUGGAGAGAUAAGAGGAGGGAGAGUAUAAGGAGGGAGGGAGGAGCCUAAAAGCAGAGAAACCUACUAGGAGCCUGUUAAAUAGUAAGUCUAGGGAGCCAUGAUAGAAGGUUAGGCCACGCAUAUUCCUACCUCAGGGCCUUUGCACUUCCUGUUCUCUGUGUCUGGGAUCCUCUUCUUCUAGAUAUUCCCAUGGCCCACACCCUCCCCUCCUUCAGAUGUCUGCUUAAUGUGAGUCCUUCAUAGCAGCCCUCAUGCCCUCACCAGCACACCCUUUCCAUGACAUUUUUUUUCUCCAUAAAACUUAACCACCAUUUGACGUUCUACUUGUUUAUUUAUUUAUUGUCUAUCCUGACAAGAAUGCAAGGUUUUUAAGAACAGAGAUUUCACUCUGUUUUGUCCAUUGCCGUGUGCCUGCUCCCUAGAGCCAUGCCUUCCCUGAGGAGGUGCUCCAUAAAUAUUGGUUGACUCAAUUAAGGAAUGAAGUGCUCCUGUCUCCCUUAUCACCAAUUCCCCCUCCGCCAUUACAAUUAGUAGGAACAAUGGCAGUGAUAAUAUUCCAUUUCCUUACUGCCUCUCCCUUUCUGUAAAGAUGAGGUACACCGGGCUUCAUCGGUCUUCCUCUGCAGAGUAGAAGUAACUCACUAAGCCAUGGAGUCGAUUUCGUGGCUCCUCAUGCAGCAAGCAGCCUUGCCUUUGGUUUGUGUCCGUCUUUGCGUCUGUUUAGUCACGUCGCUCACGCUCUUCAGAAUCCUCUAGCUUAAACUCUUGAGUAAUUCUGGACAGUGGAGUUAGCUGGGAACUUGAGAACCAGAUGAAGGAUUCUGCCAAUAGCAUGCCGUAUGUGCUUGGCAUCUAAUUUUGGCAUUCGCUUUAGCAGGUUUGAUUGCAUAAUUCAGGCAUUGGCGACAAAAAGUGACCACAUAUCCAGGGAGGGGAGGAUUGGGAGGCACAAGAUGGAAGCUGUUCUAGGGAUUCAGAGAAUGGGCUAGGGCUCUUGUUUUUAAAAAGAUGCCCACGUUUCCAGCGCCCUUGGGAUUCUUCCAGGCCUCCCGCAUAGACCAUCAUGGAGUAUUUACUUCCUUUGGGGACUGCAGGAUGAUGCUCUUGUGGUCCUUCCAUAGCAAGUCUCCAUUUUAUUAUAUAUAUUUUUUUUAUGCCUGCAUCCUGUGUUUUGAAAUAUUUUCUCGCCUACAAAAUCUGUAUCAAUUAAGUACAACUUAAUUUGUUUUCCCACUUUUUCCUAAUUAAAGACCUAUAUCUAUAGACAGCUAUCCGAACUUCCAAGUAUGACAAAACUGCAAAGAGCGUAUGUAAUUGACAUGAUUCCAAAAUAAAAGCCAAGAAUGUGUAGAUUUCACACCCACACCCUCAUUGUGGGUCAAUAAAGGCUUCCUGAUCAUUUUGAAUGUGCAAAUACGAUGCCUUUUGAGCACCCUCAGUUCGUUCCUAGAAGAGAGACUUUAUUGUGGUUUGUUUUGUUUUCAGUGUGUGGAAUUUUAAGUUGUGAGUGAAAGAGCACUCGGCAUCACGAGGCAGGACAAGAGAUCUGUCCCUCAGCAGACAGGUGAUCAUGGGCAAGUCUCUUGGAGAGGAGAGAAGCAUGAGAGUUCUGAACCGGGUGACUUCUAAAGAGUCUUCCACUGUGAAACUGCAGCAAUCUUUCACACAUGUCCAUGCCUGUUGUCUCUUUUUGCAGCCUUCAGGGUUAAUGAGAGCUCUCGGGAACACUGUGACCUUAGAGGGAACUGGCUUACAUCAAGAGAGCAGAUGCCAGCUCCCUCUAGUACUCUCCUGGGCACAUGACCCACUCCCUUUUUGAAACCCUGAAUCUUUACAUCACUGGUAAGUGCCUGUAUAAUUGAUACUGUUGCCAGUGAUCAAACACGGAGAUUACCAAAUGAUAGAGCUGGAAGAGACCCUAAGGUAUUAUCUAGUCCAAUUAUGGCCCCCAGACACCUAUGUGUCUGAAAAAAGAGAUGGGGGCGGGUCUGUGAGCCAACUCUAGUAUUCCAGAUGCCCUAUGGUAAUUCUAUAUUUGAGGAUAAUACUGUAAGAUUAAUCAAGCUAGGGAAGCAUGAGGUUCCUCUGCUUUUGGCAGGAAUUAUCAAUAUGUGGAUAAAUCAGGUGUUCCUAGUAACUGCUCGUGGGGAAGCAAAAGCUUUCGAAAACCAAAUGCCUGUAGCUGUGUUGUCCAGUACGAUUAGCCACUGGCCACGUACGGAGCACUUGAAACAGAGCUAAUCCCUAAGUAUGCUGUCAGUGCUAAAUGCGUACCAGACUUCAAAAACUUAGUAGAAAAAUGUGAAGUUGGGGCGCCUGGGUGGCUCAGUCAGUUAAGCGUCCGCCUUCGGCUCAGGUCAUGAUCUCGUGGUCCGUGAGUUUGAUCCCCGCGUCGGGCUCUGUGCUGACCGCUCGGAGCCUGGAGCCUGUUUCAGAUUCUGUGUCUCCCUCUCUCUCUGCCCCUCCCCCAUUCAUGCUCUGUCUCUCUCUGUCUCAAAAAUAAAUAAACGUUAAAAAAAAAUUAAAAAAAAGAAAAAUGUGAAGUAUCUUACGUUUUUAGAUUGGUUACAUAUUUAAGUGAUAAUAUUUUAGAUAUAUCAAAUUAAAAAAGUAAUUAAAAGUAAUGUAAAGCCUUUCCUUUUACUUCUUUUUACUGUGGGGCCUACACAUCUCAAAUCACAUCGUGUGGUUUCCAUUGUACUUCUGUUAGAAGCUGUGGUCUGUUGUGAGAGAUUUCUGGGCGGUGAAGUGUCUGGGACUCGUUCUUUAUUUGGUAGAGCCACAAAGUGAGAUCAGAGAGGUUAGGCCACUUGUUCAGGAUCACACAGCAAGUUGGUAGCUGAACCAGGAUUAGGCCAGUGUGCUUUCCAUUGCUGAAAACAGCCUCAGGGUUCACAGUGAUUUGUUUUACUAGGGGUCUGUAAAAUUGCUUCUUUGAGUAAAUGCCGAGGUUCUUGUAUAGAUGAUUGGCAGUUGUGUCCCUCCAGAAUCAAAUCCAACCAAAAACAAAAAGAAAAGAAGGAAGAGAAGGAGAGAGAAAAGGCUUUCCCUUUAAAGGACCCAGUGAGAAAUUGCAGUUUUCAUUCUUGAGCAGAUUUCCUUUACCCCCAGCACCCUGGCGUGGAACAUUAAUUGCUGAAGAAAACCGCAAUAAGAAAACAUUGACAAGGAGUGCAGCCCUCAUUCAGCAUGCUUUCCCCUUCAACGCAGCAAGAAUCCCUCAUUAAAAGAUUAAGGCUGACCAAAAAUAAAUUGUCUCUUGGUCCCCAGGCAGUUCAUUUGACAUCAUUUCCACAGGAUUAGGGACCCCAAUGGCAUGUGUUUAGCAUGGGGCUAUGUUAAUACUACAUAGGAUUAUUCUCAAAAGUUUUAAAAUAUAUUUUUAAGUAUUGAACUACUACUAAUUAAGACUUUGAUGUGACUAAUAACUAUGAUAUUUUGCCCACAAAUGGGGACUUUUCUCCCCGCCCCCCACACCAGUGUGUAACCAAACCCAGCAAUUCUACCUUAAAAAAUUUAUAAAAAGCAGACCAUGACGUAUAGCAACAUCAUGAUCACUUGAGGAAUUGUGUAAUUAUAUGGAAUGGAAAUUUAGCCUCUACUGCACGCGGUCCUUGGUCCCUUCUCUGAGCCAUCAUUUCUCGUCUUUGUGUUUUUUUAUGGUUAUCCAUAUUGUACGUGUAGGGUUUAAAGAAGCUAAAAAUUUUAUAAGGUACGUUACAAAAUCUUUUGUGCCCCCUCCCCCUACUCUACAUCCCUACUCUUGAUUUCCUGCCCACCAGAGGCAACCACUUUUAUAUCUUUCAACUGGUUCUUUAGUCAUUUACCUCCAUUUCUUAAAUCACACACUCAGGGUGCCUGGGUGGCUUAGUCAGUUGAACAUCUAACUCUUGACUUAAGCUCGGGUCACGAUCCAACAACCGAGCCCCACGUCGGGCUCCAUGCUGAGUCCCUCUCCCCUGCUUUCUCUCUCUCUCUCUCUCAAAUAAAAUAAAAUAAAAAAUUAAAUUACACACUGACAUUGCUACUUAUUUCUUUUUCAGUUCUAGACAUUAUCCUUUCUUAUCCCACUGUAGAAGAUGACACUUUAUCUCUUUUGUCCCCUACCCCUAGCCCUACCAUAGAAGCAUCCAGGUAGUCAUAAUUUCAGACAGGUCACUAUUUAGUGUUUCCAUGCUGUCAUUAUAUAAAUGCGAUCAUAUCUGACUCACGUACUCUAUUAAGAUUGCUUUUCUUUACUGUAACUUCUGGUUUUCCCUGGAGUUAAUAACUAUGGUGUUUUUACCAUGUACUUCCAUUUUUAAUGUACUGAUAACUUAAUUUUUAUGUACUCAUUGCUAAUUCACCUUUCUCAGAUGCAGUGGGUGUUAACAAAUCCUGGAGCAAGAGUCUGAGAACCUUCCACCUUCUCUGGUCUUGGCUUUCGCGUGGUGCUCCGCUGCCAUCUGGGCCUUUCUUCACUUCACCUCCUCUUUGAGUUUGAUUCCAUUUCCUGAAUUCCAUGCCUUUUCUUGUCUUAGUUUAUUUUCUAGCUUUAAUGGAGGACAGUUUUCAAUAGCUUCCUAGGGAUGGGGCGGGGCUAGAGGGGAAGUAAAAUUGUUGAAAACUUGCACGUCAGAAAAUAUCUUUCCUCUCUCCCCAUAUUUGAUAGUUGGACUUAAUAAGUUGCCUAAGGAUACAGUUCUAGGCAGGAAGUAAGUUUCCCCCAGAAUUUUGAAGGCACUGGUCCAUUGUAUUGUCUUUCAGUGCUGCUGUUGCAAAGACCGUGCCUUCCUGACUCUUAAUCCUUGGUGUGUAACUUGUUUUGUUUGCUUAUUUGUCCUCCGGGAGUAUUUUUAUCCUCCGCAUUCUAAAUUCACUGUCAUGUGCCUUGGCGUGGGUCUGUGUUAGUCCAUUCAGGCCAUUGCAGACCUGACACUUAUUUCCUUCAGUUCUGGGAAAUUUCCUCCCCUGUUUUCUCAGUUCUUUCCCUGGAACUCCCAUUAUUAGGACGUUGGUCCUAUGAUUUUCUUAUCUUCUCUUGUUAUUUUCCACCUGCUUGUAGUUUGAACUCCUCUUUGGGAGAUUCCUUAACGUUUAUUUCCCACUCCUUCUAUUGAGUUUUUAAUCCUGGGGUCAUACCUUUAAUGUGCAUGGGGGUAUUUUUGUUGUUGUUCUGGACACGUUCCUCAUUAUAACCUCUUGUCCUUCUCUCAGAGUCGCAACAUCUUCUCUUACUUAUGGAAGGAUAAUAAUGAUGAUGAUGAUGAUGAUGAUGAUGAUUAGUUUUUCCUACAUUGUCUGUCUUUUCUCCAUGACGCCUUCUUCUGGCCGUUUUGAGGUUUUUUUGUUUGUUUUUGGCUGGGUGGUAUUUUUUGUUUCACUCUCUGCCUUUCCUCUUUUAUACCCAAACAUCUGGUGAUCUCUGCUUGUCCGCUCAUAUCUGAGAGUUGUUGGAGUACUGACUGGAAGUUCUACAUGCAUGGGUGGGCUUACCCACGAGGGUGGCAAGUCUGGGUAUUUCCUUGACAUACAUACCUUUGUUAUGAAUAUCUCGACGUCUUUUGUCUUUAGCUACAUUCCGCAGAGACAGACAGGUAGCCAUCCUGGAGGGCUUAAGUCUAGCUGCCAACCUCCUGGGAGAGCAGCGAGAGGAAAUGGGCUGGCGUGGGGGUGGGGGAAUCUCACUGGUUGCCACAUACACAUCCUUUUACUCCUCCAUAUAUAAGUUUUAAGUUAAUUCCACCUGGCCAUUUUGGUUUCAGUUCUUUCUGAAUUCACUCUACUUUAUUGUCUCUGGUGCAUAAACUUCUAAUCUUCUGCCGUGAUAGGAAAGGAGCAGUGGCUCAGCUGUCCAGAUUUUCAGAUGUAACCAGUGCCAUCAAUUGCCCAGCCUUUGAGGGUCCCUGCCCUAUAAAUCUGGUUGUUUCCCAGCUUUUCUUACUAUGAGGUUAGCAUUCUACUUCCCUGCGUCUGCUAAGUAAAUUACCAUUGGUUCAUCUGCUUUCUAGUUUCUGAUUUGUGCUUCUCUUCUUCUCCUCCUCUUUUCCUCCCCCUCGCUCUUCCCCUCGCUCUUAUCUCCUCUCCUGGUGUUUUAGUCCUUGUGCUUUCUUACAAAUCUUUUCGCUGUUAUUUUAAGAAGUUUAGGGAAAGAGAGCAGAGCUAAAAUUAACUUCAUCAAAGACUGAUGAAUUUUGACAGUCUCUCUGCCACAGGGAGGGAUUGUCUUAAGUGUGUGUGUUUCGUAUAUAUCGAACUUCGAACUUGAACUUCGUAUAUAUGGAGCUUCUCAGGAGGAAGCUUUUUUGUUAAUUGAAAUUAUUAUUACGAUUGAUAAGUUUUUACCCUUAGACUAGUACAACUUGUGUCACAAAGUAUCGCCUGCAUGGAAGUCUUGUGAGGCACUACAUAUAGGGCAGGUAGUUGUAUUUUUGUGUUCCUGUGCCCUCUUGAGGGAUAAAGUUUUAUGUCCCCGUUAUAGGAAAUCAGUGGAAGAACUGGAUUAACCCAGUUAGAUUUUUGUUUUGUUUUUACACCAAUACCCUUUCAUUAAUAAAGAAGUCAACAUAUGAAGUACUCAUAGACUAGUUAAUAUACAUAAAGCUCUUAGAAUCAUGACUGGCACACAGCACUAUGUAAAUGUUAACUGCUACUCUUAUUAUUAUAUGCUCUUGUCUUGAUAGUACUUCUGAAUAUUCCAAGAGUUACAUCCAAUGGUUCCCAAGCCCAGCCGCACUGCAGAUUCACUUGAUGAUCUUUUAAAAAAGAUUACACUUCCCACCUCAGACCUCCUUCAUCAGAGUCUUCAGGGCUGGGUUCCAAGUACCUAACAAAACACAGCUCCAAUUUUCUGGGGAAGAGAUAAGCGAGACAUUUCGAGAACCACUCCUAGGAGGGUGUUGUCACAUCACUGAUGGAAAUUAUGUGGAUGAUGGUUGAAGAAGACUGCAAAGGAGCCAGCUCUGGGAGCUGAGACUAAAGGCAAAGUAGAUAUACACAGCAAAUAAAUAAAUAAGUAUACACACACGCAUACCCAGAGCUGGAAACCAAGUCAUUAUACCUGGCCGUCGUUCUGUACAGAACAUUUAGGCAGUAAAGUCACCCUCUUUCUUUACGCUGUUUUGCUCUUUUAUUUAGAUCAGAUUUUACCUGGAUAGAAGAAUUAUCAAAAGAGGUUCAAGUGGAUGGAUGUGCAUUUCUUCCUGCUCUCCCAGUAGCAGACGUUUGUGAAGCAUUGGCCAGAGUCAGCUAAGCAUUUACUUUAGACGAGAUCCGCACUCCUAAAGGGGACUCAUGCAGUCUUCAGAUGGAUUACAUUUAAAUUAAUCCUUGUUCAGACUCAGGUCUCAUCUGCUAGUAGGGUUCAAUUUUCAUUCAUCUACUGUAAAACCAAACAACCCUUAUUUGUGGCUAAGGGAGAGAGGAAAGAGAGGAAAUAAAAAAAGCGUUACAUUUUAUUUCCAUGUAAGUGACUCAGAAGGCACUAAAUGGUUACUUAUUUGAGAAUUAAUAGCAACCCUUUGUUUAACUAAAACAGUUGGUGUUAGAAGAAUAAUUUAUAGAAUAAUGGAAUUAUAGAUUAUAUAACUAUAUAAUAAUUCAUAGAAAUCACAGUUAGGGGCUGGGGAGGAGGGGUGGGUGACAAAAAAAAAAUGCCAAAUCGCAGAGUGACCAGAUUCAUGUCCACUAAUGUUUUACAUUAUCCAAAUUUUAAUGCUUGAUUUUAAGGAAUAUUCCCUUAUCAUUUAUAAAACAUUUAUCUUGAGAUUCUCUCCAUACUUGGUGUUGGAACAAUGGAGAAUGAUCCAGGCUUUCCGUUGGGAAAAUAACAAUAGCUAGCCCUUACUGCAUGCUAACUGCAUGCCAGGCACUGUCCUAAGCACUUUUCCAUCUGCUAGCUAAUUUAAUCCUCAUCAGGGCCCUGGAGAAGGUUCUGUUAAGAUAAACGAAGUGAGGGGCGCCUGGGUGGCUCAGUUGGUUAAGUGUCCGACUUCGGCUCAGGUCAUGAUCUCGAGGUUCAUGGGUUUGAGCCCCCGUGGGGCUCUGUGCUGACAGCUUGGAGCCAGGCGCCUGCUUGGGAUUCUGUAUCUCCCUCUCUCUCUGCCCCUUCCCCGCUCGUGCUUUGUCUCUCUCUCUCUCGAAAAUAAAUAAACGUUAAAAAAAAUUAAAAAUGAAAAAAAAGAUAAAUGAAGCGAAAGCAUGAGAGGCUUACUUGCUGGUAAGUGAGUGGUGUAGCCCUCCUAUUUGCCUAGCUGCUUUCCUUGUACAGCUUUGGGUUGCUCACCACAGGUGCCUGGCCCAGAGGACGUUAUGUUCCGGACUGGGCUGGCCAGGGCUGUAGAAGGUGUUUUAGACAUAAGCCAAAGGAAGCUAAUACAGGCCUCCUCUUCCUUCCACAUGCUGUCUCAAUUCCAGACCAACAGUAACUCUCUUAAGGGACUAUUAGGUGAGGCGAGGCUCAGAGAACUUCGGUAAAUUACUCAAGCUCACACAAAUGGACAGUGCCAGUCAGAAUUCAAUCCAAAUUAGAUUCCAAAGCCAGUGGAAUACCUCCCUUCUUCUCUUAAUAUUACCUUUUGCUCUGUGUCGCCUCUCAGGAGGUGGGAAAUAAAGCCAGGGAUGAGUGGGUACCUCUACUCACAGUUACUUCGUGUAGCACUGUGUGACCCUUCAGUCUGUUUUCCAGGCAUAAGCCUGGCUGAAUGGCAAAUAAAGCCCAGGCAGAACGGCAGCCUUCCCCAUUUAUGCCUGGAAGAUAUAACACUCUUUUUGCAUUGGCACCAGAGAACUGUGCCCACCAGCUCUGAUUCUUUUCUUCUCCCUUCACUACCCCCCCCCCCAACUUCAUCAAGAAGAUAUGAAUGCUGAGAUCAUCUCAGAGAAAUCUAGAAUAAAUACCAUGAGAAAAUGGUCCCCCUGGAAGGCAUCUUGUUCUCCUGCUGUUUGUAAUUGUGAAGAGCUCAGCAACUGGGCAGCUGGAUGGGUAUAAAUAUAGCCCAGAGCACUGACGCCCGCUGAAUCCUGCUUUCUUAGAAGCACAAUGGGAACCCACGGAAAUCAGGGAAAGAGCAGUAAAGCCCAGUCAAUCAAUCAGCCUCCCUCCCUCCCCUCUCCCUUUCUCACUCCCUCUCUCCAUCCUUAACCUCAGUGUGGGUGUGAGGAUAGAAGCAGCUUUUAAGAGUGCACUUAAAAUAGUUCUUGGAACUGGACGCUGGCUAAACUCAAAGACAGGGAAGAUGCUACCUCCCAAACCGGCCCCUGUCCGACCUGUAAGCCCAGGACUAGUUUGACCAUUCUGGUGGGAAAUCUCAGGAGCCCGUGCAUCCUCAGCCCAGCUGCUUGGGUACAAGCAACAUUUCUAGCAUGAGCUCCAGGCAUUUGGUGCCUCCAUAUUCAGAUAUCUUAUUCUAACCAGACUCAGCUGCCUAAUGCCCGGGGAUUAAAAAUAGCCUCCCAGUGCUAGCUAUGGAAUUGAAGGAGAAAUACUCAGGGAGUAGAGAGGUCAGCUUUACUCCGGGCCCCCGAUUCUCAUACCUGUGGGUUUCAUUGCAUCUAAGCGUUUAAUCCCUUCAGGUUAUUUUAGUCUUGUGCUAUACCAUUGCCUAUUUUGUGUGGCUGUUUAAGAUAAAACGGUCAUCCCAGGUUUGUGGGCAUUGGUAUCAUUAGGAGUCUGGGUUUUGGCAGGAGAAAGCCAUUAUUUUGCUUGGUGGUUCCCGGAAACAAAUUGUGUCUAGUUAUCUUUCCAUGCAGACAUCAAUGGUAUUUGCUAUUGAUGCAUACAUUUAUUGGUUUUUUUCUUUCCCAUUUGGCAGUGAAUACUUCACAGAAAAGAAUCCUGUCCUCUACUUUCAGUGCAACUGUCCACAAAGCUUAAUAAAUGGUCUUACAUGACUUUGCUGUGUUUUGUGACUGUUGAGCUGAUUGAAACAACCAUUCUUUAAUGUCCACAGCACCCUUCUAGAAGAUGGCACAAAUACUGUGUCAUUUCAUAACAUUCCAUUGUUUAAGGUUCCGUGUGCACCAGCGGUCUAAGAGCAAUCUGUGUGCAUGUGUGUUUUUAAUUGUUUCGUUGGAUGGGAGCUGCAUCUAUGCUUUUUUUAUUUAUUUUUUUUAAUUUCUAAGAUUGCCUCCUCCAAAUUGAACCUCAGAGUGUAAUAUUUGUAAAAAAAAAAAAAUAAGGAACAGUUAAAGCAGAGUAUAUUUAAAAUAUAAAUUUAAACACGGAUAAACUGAAGAAGGCCUGAUGUUGGAAGAAUGGUAGGUCCGUCGGUUCACCGGUCGCCGGAGCGCCUCAAGCACAGAACCUUCCUCACAAAACAUCCUGCUUUCCAAUUGCUUGUCCUUGGGACCGGAGCCGUGCUAGGAGAGGAACGCCAGCUGUUCUGGCCUUGGUAGGGACUCCAAGGAAAUCAGGCCACCGCUUGGAGACUUCACAGAGCCAAAGGGAACAUCUUGACUUACAGCCAGGAGCCUUGCAGGUCAUAACAGAGUUCUAAUGAUUGACACCCUGAAAACCAUUCACUUGGUACAGGGCCUGGCACAGAGUAAGGACUCACCGAAUGUUAGCAAAUACGCAAAGGGGCAUUCCACCCCUAUCUCUUCGCUCAGCUUCCAAAAGCCUAGAAAAAUAACAUGGGGACUUCGAUCGGCACGGCCACAGCAGCGAGUGCAUUCCCUCGGCAGAUGAUGAUCGGACGACCUCGGCCACCUUCUCCAGAUUUUUCCCUUUGCCCCUGAAUCGAGAUGCCACUUGGCACGGAUGAGCCGCAAACACCUCAGCCUCCGGUUCAGGGACUGUCCCGGAAAGAAGGAGAGGACAUCGUAUAUGAAACUCACUUAAAAAAAAAACAAAAAAAAACUAGUUAUAUAAAGAAAGAAAAGAAAAAACUAAGAUGCGUCCGGGACCAGAGGAUAGAUUGAGUUGUAGGCUUUUAUGUGCAUGCCAGAAAGGAAGGGAGAAGAGCCCACCACACUGCAUCAUCUUCUGUUCCUUGGCCAAGAUUCACAUCCACCUGUUAUGUGCCAUUUUCACCUUUGCCCCCUUGUGCACCAGCCCGGUGACACUUACCGUUACCUUUAGCCCUCCCAACCGCCGCAAGCUGGGUGGUGUUAUCCCCCGUCUUUGGAUGAGGAAACAGACCCUGGAGUGAGGUGACCUGUCCAGGCUCCUCAAAGAAGUCAAUAGCAGAGAAAGGACUUGAGCCCAGACCUUCUAAUUCCCAGCCCCGUGAGUAGGAAUAAAAGAGUGGAAACAGCUGUCCAACCCCCCCGAGUGUUAUGAAAAGUAUUGUAUUAAAAGUACUGACAGCCCCAGAGGUGACACGAAUGUUUCUCCAUCACUCACCACUGAAACCAGAGCUGUCGCUGGAUACUGUCCGUUCCAGAACCCUCAAGGCACUGAGACUGUGAAGUGACAGCUUUCCUCUCUACAAACUUUCUUUCUUUCUCUCUCUCUCUUUUUUUGUUUUGUUUUAAGAAAUCGAAUAGUGCUGAGGGAUAAUUUCUUUUUUUUUUUUUUUUUAGUUUAUUUAGAGAGAGAGAGAUCAUGAGCAGGGGAGGGGCAGAGAGAGAAAGGGACAGAGAAUCCCAAGCAGGCUACACACUGUCAGCACAGAGCCCGACACGGGACUCAAACUCACGAGCCUGAGCCAAAAUCAAGAAUCGGAUGCUCAACUGAUUGAGCCACCCAAGUGCCCCAGGAUAAUUUCUUGAAAUAGGGCUUUAUCUCCUUCUUUUUGAGAGGAAUUUAGGUGUCCUUUCUUCAGUGAAAGAUCCUUUCUGUCCUGUAAGAACCUAGAAAUAGUCUGUUGGUCACCCACUGUGAUGUUCCCAACAAAUCCAAAUCAUGCCAUCAAUAAAGCUCAGUUUUUGAGAGGCCAUUCAUUCUUUUAAGCACUAAUAUUUGUAUUCAUGCAGUGUGCUUAGCACCAAUCCAGGCACUGGGAACAGAAUUGAAAGGAUACUCUCUUCAAGAAAUUCACAGUUCCUGGGGCGCCUGGGUGGCUCAGUCGGUUAAGCGUCCGACUUCAGCUCAGGUCACGAUCUCGCGGUCCGUGAGUUCGAGCCCCGCGUCAGGCUCUGGGCUGAUGGCUCAGAGCAUGGAGCCUGCUUCGGAUUCUGUGUCUCCCUCUCUCUCUGACCCUCCCCCUGUUCAUGCUCUGUCUCUCUCUGUCUCAAAAAUAAAUAAACGUUAAAAAAAAAAAUUAAAAAAAAAAAAGAAAUUCACAGUUCCCAAACUUCAGCUGUGCCCACAGAGUCCAGGCAACUAGGGAAAUUUCAGUAUCAGGUAACGGGAGGAAGGCCAGGACCACCAGUUGUUGGCAAGUAUGGUUGGGAGGCAAGGUGCUGGUAGUUGGGGGUGGGGGGUGUCUAACGUUACCUUUGGAAACGUGAGCUUAAGGAGCAGACAGCAGAAACCCAGCCAUAGCAACUGGGAUUCAGCCAUAGGACUUGUGUUAUGGAGAAGGACUGGAAGAUAGGGCUGGGUGGGAAACCCAGAUAAGGGACCCCAUGACAGCAAAGACUUUUUUUUCCGGGUGACAGAGCAAGGCCCAGUAAAGCCAGCAGUAGUGGUGACUCACUACUGAUUCCCUGAACAACUGGUCCCAAGCUUCCUCUUGAUAAAGGAGAGGAUUGGGCCUGGAGUUUGGGUGGAGCUGGACUUGCAGAAAGGGGGUUAAAUAAGUCCAGCUGAAAAGAUUAUGGGGCCCUAGGGGCAGCCAGCCGAGUAUCUUACUACAGCUAAAACACAUGGAAAAUCAGUCGGACCAAUGAGAUGCACAGCUCUCUCAGGAGAAAGUGGGCAUCCCACGUUGGCAUAAUCUAUAGGAAAGGAUUUCAGUUCUGUGGGUCUUGAAGACGAAGUUACAAGGUUGCUAGGAUGCUUAGGCUACAAGACGUUUUUGUGUGAUCGCCUUAUAGUAGAAACAAAAGAACAUUCCUGUAGUCUUUACCACGUAAAGGUUGCAGAAGAUGAGCUUUUUUAUUUUUUUUUUUAAUUUUUUUAAUGUUUAUUUUUGAGAGAGAGAGAGAGAGAGAGCAGGGGAGGGGCAGGGAGAGAGAGGGAGACACAGAAUCCGAAGCCGGCUCCAGGCUCUGAGCUGUCCGCACAGAGCGGACAUGGGGCUCAAACUCACAAACUGCGAGAUCAUGACCUGAGGUGAAGUCGGACACCCAACCGACUGAGCCACCCAGGCGCCCCAGAAGAUGAGCUUUUUAACAAAUAUCCAUCAACUAUCUAUUAUGUGACUCCGAAGACAAAUAAGAAGGUAAAAUAGUUCUUGCCCUUGAGGAACUUGUCACCUCUUGGGGAAGACAGAUGGCUAACCAGCAAAUCAGAAUAUAGGGUGGUUGGGGUUGUGUAUCAUGUCAUUGACCCACAGAGGAGAAGCAGUUGACUUCAGAAAGGAGAAGGGUUUAAGCUGGGUUGCGAAGGAAAGUAAAAGUAAGGAGUCUGAGGAAAGCAAAGAAAUGAAGAUUGGUUCUAGAAACAAGCAGCAGCUGGUGGCUGGAGCAAAGGGGUGUGAUAGAAAAUAAAACCGGAAAGAUAGACCUGAAGGGCCUGCUGGGCUAAGCUGAAGAAUUGAAUUUCUCCCCCAGAAUCUACGGGGAGCCAUUGACGGGUUUCAGGCAGGGAAGUGAUAACAUUCCUUUUCGGGAACUAUGUGAAAGGUGGGUUGUAAGAGAGAUGUCAGGCCAGUUAGGAAGGAGAAUGAUACUGCUAAUGCUCGAGUACUCGCAUUUUUCUCCUGUCGCCCGUUGUAGCUCCAGAAUUGUAGACUCGUCUACAGAGAAGCCACACGAGUGUGGAAUAUCAGCUUGUGAGCCACUCCAGAAAGGGUAUGCUGGUGGCUGGAAGUUGGGCAGAUUGAAAGGCUUCUUGUCAUGAGGGAACAAGUUACAUUAGGGCACACGUCUAAGGUCGCUGCAGAAAAGUUUAAAGUCUCAGUCACAUGGUAGCCAUGAUGUGUAGAAGAACCAGAAUUUCACGGAGUGAAGUUGGCCAAAUGCUUUGAAGUUGGCCCCCACCGAAAGCCCACCUACCUUCGCUCUGAGUCGCAAUUAAAAUCGGAAUGUGGCACAGCUGUGUGAGUGGCACACACAUUCUCACACAUGUCCGAUCUCUCGGGUCCAUUUUGGUAGUAUUUGUUUUCCUUUGAGAUAGGAGUUGAUUCAGUCACACUUUCUUCUCCUGACAAUAACUGCAUUUUUUUUUCCUGAGGUAGCCUUCCCUCCAACCGUCUCUUGUUGUUCUUACCCAAGACCCGGUAUCUGCCAAAACAAAUGUAUGUGAGUGAUAAACGCUGAGAGGAAUGUCUGUUGGACCACAGGAAAUUUCCUGUUCAGGAAGAGAUCUUGGGAACUUCCUGUGGAGGGGUGCAUUGUGGGACUUUUGGCUGCAGGCCCUUGACCACAGCUGCAAUUAACUAAAGGCAAGGGGGGGAGGGGAGAGGAAGAAGAGGAGACAGCUACCCACAGACAUUUUUAUCCAUGUAGCCUGAGGAGAGAAUGGGCUAAUACAGGUUAAAAUUUUCCAAGUGAUCUGAACGUCUAAUGUGCACCAAGGUCACUGGUGCCCAGUCUCCUUUACUGCCACCCAUCCUUUACAGCAUCCCAGAUGCUUCCUUAGGCUUCCUAAAAACAAGCACUGUCGCCUUGUCUUCAUGAGUCUUCCUAUGCCUCCAGCCCUUGUAAGCCUGUGUGAAGUGUCCACCUCCUCUUGGGCCAUACCGACGGGUUGCAAUGCCCUGAUUAUCCUCAGGACCACUCAUGGCUACUGGUGUCCACACCUUGGGGUUGGUGAUGUGUUCCAUCCCGACUCAGGUAUGGAAGAGAGAAG